UACGUAGGGGGCGAGCGUUAUCCGGAUUUACUGGGUGUAAAGGGAGCGCAGGCGGCGUGGCAAGUCAGAUGUGAAAACCCGGGGCCCAACCCCGGGACUGCAUUUGAAACUGCCAUGCUGGAGUGCUGGAGAGGCAAGUGGAAUUCCUGGUGUAGCGGUGGAAUGCGCAGAUAUCAGGAGGAACACCGGUGGCGAAGGCGGGUCUCUGGGCAGUAACUGACGCUGAGGAGCGAAAGCGUGGGGAGCGAACAGG
rnacentral:rRNA from 1 species